GAAAAUAGUUUGCACACUGGGGAAUGGUCUUUUGUGAUAACUGCUGAGUGUUCAAAGAGGUGCAGAAGUGUCACAGAUCCUGGCCACAGACAACCAAUGUCAGGAAGCAAGGCCCUCUUGGUAGCAGUCCCUUCCUGUGGUUAACUCUUCAGGCUCUUCCUUAGAGGAUUCAGCAAAUUUCCAAGGCCUUCCUUCUGAGGAAGCUGUACUGGCCAUACGAAGAAGAGGAGACCACACGCUAUGCUCGGUGGCCAGCAUCCUCUGCCCUCAGGUGUCUCUGCUACCUGCUGUUCUGAGCCUUUCUGCAAGCCACCAGAGUGACAGAGUGACUCAGCUUCUUGUCCUUGCCCUCUCCUGCAGGCUGAGGACUCUGCCUGAUACUUUGGUUCAUGAUUUUUUUUCCAGCUUUCAAAAGUUUUAACCCCCUUUUUCUCUCCUGGGAGGGAACAUUUAAAAGGAACUUUGUCUUCUCAGUUUACCGCUUC